ACCUUACCCAGGUUUGACAUGCUUUCGACCGGCGUUGAAAGACGCCCUUCCCUCGGGACGGAAGCACAGAUGCUGCAUGGCUGUGUCAGCUCGUGCCGUGAGGUGUUGGGUUAAGUCCCGCAACGAGCGCAACCCCUGCCGUCAGUUGCCAUCAGGUAAUGGUGGGGACUCUGGGGGGACCGCCCGUGUCAAGCGGGAGGAAGGGGGGGAUGACGUCAAGUCCGUAUGGCUCUUACACCUGGGGCCGCAAACGUGCUACAAUGGCGGGUACAAUGGGCAGCGAGUCCGCGAGGGGCGAGCGAACCCCCAAAGCCCGCCCCAGUUCGGAUUGCAGCCUGCAACUCGGCUGCAUGAAGUCGGAAUCGCUAGUAAAGGGACAUCAGCCACGGUCCCUUGAAUACGUUCCCGGGUCUUGUACACACCGAAC
rnacentral:rRNA from 1 species